GAAUAAACAAGCUGUGCAUAUACACUCUGGAUAUUCCUUUUUUAUAUUAUAUUUGUAGAAAUUAAUCGGGGAAAAUAAUGAGAAAAAUCUUAUAAUUUUAUGCAAAUAAGGAAAUAUUGUAUUGUCAAGUUAUUUUUAAAUAUAAUAUAACAAAAAUGCGUAUUGAAAUACCAACUUGUACAAGAUGUUGUUGCUGUUUCCCUUUGCGUCGCGGAAUCAUUAUUCUGGGAUACUUGAGCUUGGUUUUUGCAGUUUUUGUAAUUUGGGUGGAAUCACAGACGACACAUGAUACAUUGGUCUUAUACAAAGGUGGAAGUUUCCUUGUUCAAAAAUGGUUGACAAUUUUCUUGUAUUGUAUUGAAAUUGUAUUUGUAUUAAUACUGCUGGCUGGAGCUCAUACGGGGAGACCUAACCUACUUCGUGUGUAAUAUUUCUACGGUAUAACGACCACUGCGGCUGCGCUGGCCGUCUAUCUGAUCACUAUGCCGAGGAGGAAUCAACCCUUCUACAGCUACUACGUUAUUGACAUAUGCACUAUGUUUGCUGGGCUCGUGACACAAGUAUACCUACUUCUCCUGAUACGCAGCGAGCUACAGAAACUCCGCGGCGCCCAUCGCGUUAACCACCUAACUGAAGUUUGACGGCAACUUGCUGCACGGCUCGAUUCGGAAAAUGAAUUAGAUUUCUACUAGACUUCAACAAGUUACGAUACGGAUAAUUUAAAGAUAUUUGUAAGAUAGAUAUGUCAAAUUUGAC